rnacentral:rRNA from 1 species
AAGCAUAUCAAUAAGCGGAGGAAAAGAAACUAACAAGGAUUCCCCUAGUAACUGCGAGUGAAGCGGGAAAAGCUCAAAUUUAAAAUCUGAUGGUCUUUGACCGUCCGAGUUGUAGUCUAGAGAAGUGAUACCCGCGCUGGACCAUGUGCAAGUCUCCUGGAAUGGGGCAUCAUAGAGGGUGAGAAUCCCGUCUUUGACAUGGACUACCAGGGCUUUGUGGUGAGCUCUCAAAGAGUCGAGUUGUUUGGGAAUGCAGCUCAAAAUGGGUGGUAAAUGCCAUCUAAAGCUAAAUAUUGGCGAGAGACCGAUAGCGAACAAGUACCGUGAGGGAAAGAUGAAAAGAACUUUGGAAAGAGAGUUAAACAGUACGUGAAAUUGCUGAAAGGGAAACGCUUGAAGUCAGUCGCAUCGACUGGAAAUCAACCAUGCUUUUGCUUGGCAUACUUUCCAGCUGGUGGGUCAGCAUCAUUUCCGAUAGCUGGACAAAGGCUUGGGGAAUGUGGCAUCUUAGGAUGUGUUAUAGCCCUUGGUCGCAUACAGCUGUUGGGAUUGAGGAACUCAGCACGCCGCGAGGCCAGGUCUUUCAUAGAUCAUGUUCGUGCUUGGGAUGCUGGCAUAAUGGCUUUAAUCGACCCGUCUUGAAACACGGACCAAGGAGUCUAACAUGCCUGCGAGUGUUUGGGUGGAAAACCCAUGCGCGCAAUGAAAGUGAAACAGGUUGAGAUCCCUGUCAUGGGGAGCAUCGACGCCUGGACCAGACCUUUUGUGACGGAUCCACGGUAGAGCAUGCAUGUUGGGACCCGAAAGAUGGUGAACUAUGCCUGAAUAGGGUGAAGCCAGAGGAAACUCUGGUGGAGGCUCGUAGCGAUUCUGACGUGCAAAUCGAUCGUCAAAUUUGGGUAUAGGGGCGAAAGACUAAUCGAACCAUCUAGUAGCUGGUU